UACGUAGGGGGCGAGCGUUUGUCCGGAAUUAUUGGGCGUAAAGCGCACGUAGGCGGUUCGUUAAGUCGGAUGUGAAAGCCCUCGGCUCAACUGAGGAAGUGCACCCGAAACUGGCGAGCUUGAGUACGAAAGAGGAUCGCGGAAUUCCCGGUGUAGAGGUGAAAUUCGUAGAUAUCGGGAGGAACACCGGUGGCGAAGGCGGCGAUCUGGGUCGAUACUGACGCUGAGGUGCGAAAGCGUGGGGAGCAAACAGG
rnacentral:rRNA from 1 species